ensembl:lncRNA
GUACAGUCGCAUCGCGCGCACCGCGCCUCGCGCCCCAGCCGGGAUGCUCCGGGCCCGCGGAACCGUUUGUAGCCGCGGCCCGCCCGCCGGGCCGAGCUGACCAAUCGUGUCGCAGAGCGGGAAAGGCGGCGCCCUAUGACUGCAGCAGGGAGAACCCGUGCCCGUCCGCUGCGGAGCUGCCUGACGUGGGCGUGGAGAGCGGGAGGGGUGUUGCGUCUGAGAGAAGUUCUGCUCAGAAAGAAAAGGAAUUCGGUGGGCCAGAUUCCCUCUGUGGCCAGAUCCAUUCACUACAGCUGCCUGGGGAGGCAUCUAGGUGAAGGGCUAUCGUCAAGAGGAAAAUCGAACUUAGAAGGGAGGAGGUCACCAUUUUUGCAGGUACCAAUCCAAAUUUUGCUCAGAUUUCACCUAGAGAUUUUACUUAAAUAUUUCUGGAAAAGCACUUGUUUUAACAAAUACUGAUUGCUACUCAUGCAUUUAAUGCAAGUGGCGUAAGUUUUAGCACCGAUGUAGAGCCAUUUCUGUUUUAUGGGUCUUCACAAAUUAAACUUGAUGACAAUCUAAUUCAUAUUACACCAAUUUCAGAGGUGCAGAAGGGAACAGAAGCUAUAUCCUGCCCCAUGCUACAACGUUCGGGUAUUCUAAUCGAGCAUCUGUGGCUGUCUCCCACACUAUCAAGCUCCUUAGAUACUGGACAUAUUUCCAUCAACCAAGAGACUGAGCAUAUCGUGCUCAAAAAGAGUACUCAACGGCAUGAAAAAGGGGAUUAAAAAGCAAAGAACCAAAACCAGCAUCUCUUUUCCAGAAGGGUGAAAAUAUGCCAAGCCCAGUUCUAACUACAGAAAUACUUUCCAGUAUUUUCUUUCUUUCCAGUUACUGCAGUUCUACAAAGAUGUUAUUUGGUGACAGAUGAAAAGGAAGGCAAUUUGGUGAACAAGAUACCUAUUCCAAAGAUCUCCUGAUUAAAAGAAAGGCUAAUAUCUUACUCCUCACACUCCUGACAUGACCGUAGGCUUGAAGAGUCUUGCAAUCUGUAUAUAAUUUGAAUGAAGGAAGUCCAGUUGAAAGACUACAUCUCUAAUUGUUAAUGAACGUUUCCAGCAACAGUUUCACAGCAACAAUAACAAAAAAAAAUUCUCUGCUUGGAAGAGGUUUUCUUCCAAAUGUGUUCUCUUAGCUUAAGUUGCUAUAACAGAGAUAGCACUAGGCAGAUAGCAACUGUAUGUGUUCUAUAAUAAGUAUACUUUUCAUAAGGCAUUUCAAGGCAAACAGAUUACUAACACAUUUUAAAAGUUAAACUAUGUAUAUCAAGGACCACACUAUUGCAGCAAGCUAUAUACAGUAAGGCACUGUCCAUGAAAUCAAAGAAAUAUUUCAUAUCACAUUAAUACACUGACAUUAUUGCCUGACCUAUAAAUACUGAUAAUAUUUUCAUUAUCAUCUACAUUUAACCUUCUUUAUCCUUUCAAAUGCCCUUAUGCCCAAUACGUGAAAACAUGUGAUAGAGUUCCACAUAGUAAGUCCAGAAAUCACAUCAAGGAAGUUCUUUAUUGGUUUCUUUCAAUGACUUUCAGAUUAAAUCUGCUCAUUUUAUAAAUGCAGUAAAGGUUUUUGUUAAGUGUCUAGUCUAAAAACACAUGGUUGAAGUUAGUAGGUUUUUUCAAUCCAGCAACAAAGGACCCUGCAACUAGAACAAAGUUAAUAACUGCUGAUGACAUACAUGCUAGAAGAAAAAAAACAAAACAAAACAAAAAAAAACCCAGUGCCUCACUCCUUAGUAUCAGAAGAAGAAAAUCAUACUUUAGAACUGAAAGAAAAUUAUGGCGUACACAAAAAGAACAGGUUUGUAUAGAAAACUAUCAACCUUUCACCUACUCACCUUUCAGGCAUUUGCUUCAUCAAACUCCCAAGUAUCAGUGCAAGAAUGAGUAUAAUUACCAGAAUGCCAAGGUAAGAAACAGGCAGACUUUGUAAAUCUGUUCACAGUAGUGUUCCAGAUUGGUGCUAAAAUAAGAGUUAUGAGCUACGUUCAUUUUAAGUAAAUGUAAGAAUAUCUAUACUCAGCUCAGACCUUCUUUAGUCAUCAUCUAUUUGGGAAGAAUGGAAGGAAUUACUGCUUCCCUAGAAGAGAAUUCAUUUUUCUCAGUUACAGAAUGUGAAAGUGAACAAACUCUGGCCUUUCUCCAGUUCAAGUCAAGGAGAGUUGCAUGAGCUGUUCAGCCUCAUGACCACACUUACCUACACUGUAGGCUCCCAGAUUAAGAGCAGUUGACUGAGCCUUCAGAGCAAGAAUGGUUUCAAAAUAAAAUGCUCUACCCAACAGACGUCAGUGGCACUAACUUACCAUCUCACCUUGUAACAGAAGCAUACUUGCUUAAAGUUUGCUAGAAGAUGUGAUUUGUACCAGUCACACCAGGAGAGUAACAGAAACUUGUAGUGACCUUUCAGUCUCAUGCAGCUUGAAUCAUUUAUUAUGAGUGGAUAAGCGUUCUCCUGGCCUUCUAGAUCAGGGAAAGGAAGAAAGGCAAAAGAAACCUUGGAGUCCUCCAGAAUAUCAGCACAGAAUCAUAGAAUGGUUGGGGUUGGGUUGGAAGAGACCGAAAAGAUCAUCUAGUUCCAACCCCCUGCCACAGGCCUCCCACUAGACCAGGUUGCCCAAAUCCCCAUCCAACCUGGCUUUGAACAUUUCGAGGGAUGGGGUAUCCCUAAUUUCUCUGGGCAACCUGUUUCAGUACCUCACCACCAACACAAUAAAGAAUUUCUUCCUUACAUCUAAUCUAAAUAUACCCGCUUUUAGUUUAAAAUCUUUAUCUCUCAUCCUAUCACUGCAUGCCCUUGUAGAAAGUCUAUCUUUCUUAUAAGUCUUCUUUAAGAAAAGAUGCAGUAAGGUUUCCCUGGAGCCUUCUCUUCUCCAGGCUGAACAACCCCACCUCUCUCAGGCUUUCUUCAUAGGAGAGGCUUUCCAACCCCCUGAUCAUUUUUGCGGCCCUCCUCUGGACUCCCUCUAGCAGGCCCUUGUGUUUCUUGUGAUGGGGGUCUGAGAGCUGGAUGUGGUGGUACUGCAGGUGGGUUCUCAUGAGGAAUAGAGAAAGAGAAAGCAUCUCCAUCUAGGCUCCCAUUCAAGUAUUUCUGCCCUUGGUUAUUGACACUAAACAAGCUCAUGGACGUGCAGAAUAGUAACACGUUAUCAGCAGCUAAUAAAAUUAAACUAGGCUAGACGGUAUUGCUAUACUGAACAAAAUAGAUUCCUCCCUCAAACAGCAAAGACACUAGCACACAAAAUAGCGGUGACACAGACCUUCAGCUAGGAACACAGAUUGGCAGGCCUUGGCAGGAGUGUGUAAAUUCUGUGGUUUGGUCCUAGAGGCUGUGGCUUCAGCCCCAGCUCCCAAUUCCCUACCACAAACCACCAGAGACUGUUCAGAGUAAAUACAAGGCCAGCUUCUAUUCAGCAAGGUCCUGUCAUAUUCAAAUAUUAUCAUGCUAAGGGGCUUCUAGCUUAAAUAUCCUUCCAUAGGCAUGGCAACUGAACACAAGCAAUAGGUAGGAAUGAACUGGCUGGAGCAUGAGCUGGCUGAGACCCAUUCAGCUUGACAGCCAGGGAAAAUGUCUCAGCUGCCUCUCAUCUUCGCAUGAAGCCUGUCUUAUUGGACAGCUAUUUGCGAACACAGCUCAGCUGCUUUCUCUGAAUCAGACAGAGAGGUGUGCAGAUGAUGAUAUUGCCCAGAUUCCAGGAGCACCCUGGGGACCGACACCACGCUCCGUUGGUACUUCCCAUGAACUUAGCUGAAGGUCUGCAUACCAGGAAGGACUGUCUGCUUGCAGUGGUACUAGCAGAGUGGCAGGUGCUUUUGAACCACGCCAUGCUCUGUGGUGGGAUUUCCAACGUCCAAACGUCAUUAACUCAGCCUCUUCUUUCUGAACACUGGGAAUAAGGCAAACCCGCAUGGGCACGAGCGGUCAAAGCUGCCCAGCAUGUUGACACCGGAGCUAGGCUGAUGAAAGUCACACGUGGGGCAGCCCCUGCUUUGCAUUUUGGUGCAGAUGUACACAGAGAAAGGAGCGGAGGCAGAGCUGAGACGGUGGGAAACUUGGCGAGAAGGAGGGAGUCUGUUACUUGAAAUCACUCUACAGCACAUUACAAAUCUGUUAAAUCACUGCGGGUUACCCUGUAUUUCAGAGUAAAUUGGUAACUUUUCAGAGGGAGUGAAGAAACUACCACUCCACUUUUAAAUAAUGAAAAUGCUAAAAAACCUACACUUAACAGCUCUAAAACUGCAGCAAGUCACCCACCAACACCCACUCCUCUUGUCAGCAGGCUUUUUUCAGCUUUGCCUAUUAUUUGCGUGAAGCCAGAGAUGUUUAAUGUUUGCUGCCCUUAUCUGCUCAACUUUAAGGAGCCUCAAACGUUACAAUAUGUACCUGGGCCGCUGACCUGUUUCCCCACAGCACUUUGAUCUAAAUAAGUAACAAACACAGAGUUUCCAAAUCAUUUGGAUUCACUGGCUCUGAGCGCAUAGCUGUAAAAAAUCUGCUUUAAGAUUAACAUCCAAUUUUAUUCAUGCCUGAGGCUUCACCACAGCAUCUAUUUUUGUAAGAUUAACAGCAAGAUCCCAGUUCUCCAGAAAUGUAAAGAGUAACAGCCAGUUGUAAAAGAAAUCUGAUAUUUCCUAAUUUGUCCUGCUCGCAUCCAGGAAGGCUUAUUUUCCCAGACCUUCCAAUGAUGGUUGUAAUUUCUACUUGCAUUUUUGCACCCACGACACGCGGCGUGUGUAUUAAUCCUUCUGCCUCCCAUUUGCUGAAAUGCAUUUCUGAUGAAACUGUGAGUGCCAAAAAACCACUAGUGCAAAUCUCACAUGUGCAAAGUAUCCCCUGAAAGACAGCUUUUACUCUGGAGGAGUUAAGAAACAGUCAUCUUCCUGUACCUUGCACAGAAGCAUUUUGGAUCAUCUAACUUGAAAAUGCAAGUACAUAAAAGGAGCACUUAAUAUUCCAGCUAAUCCAUUUUAAAUUAAUAUACUUGCAAACAUUUCUUUUUAACAUGGGAAUCUGAGGACAAAUUGGGGGCCAUUUUUAACUUUAACAGCAGAAGAAAAGUUGCUUUAAAUAGUGCCUUUGGUAUCUGUCAAUUAGAGCUAUUGCACUGCUGUCAACUUGCGCUCCUUUAGUUCCAGCUUUGCUCCAUCCUACACAGAUCCGUACAAAUCAGUUGUCUCUUCCAAACAUGCACUAACCACUGGAAAGUGAAAUUAAUAAAGUGUGAGAAAAGCUGACUCAUAAAGCUGACACUCCUGUGCCCAACAACUCUGGGUUUCUCCCCUCCAGCUAGCUGUUUGAGAUAGACAGGCAAAGUGGUAAAAGAUUAUCAAAUUGCAACUGUCACUCCUGACAAAAUGCAUCUGAAUGCUGGAAGGAAUUUUAGGUUUUAAGCUAAAGCACCAUCCCAAAGAGUUCCUCAGAGCCUGUCAAUAUCUGUACCUUGGAUGGAAAGCUACCACUGAGCACAGUGCGUCCAACAUAUAGAACCUGCCACGAAAUGAAGUUCUUCGUAAGAAAGCUCAUCUCAGUCUUGGUUGGUAACAAUAACAAGGAGA